rnacentral:rRNA from 1 species
AACGAACGCUGGCGGCGUGCCUAACACAUGCAAGUCGUACGCGAAAGGGGCUUCGGCCCUGAGUAAAGUGGCGCACGGGUGAGUAACACGUGGAUAAUCUACCCGAUGAUUGGGGAUAACAUUCCGAAAGGAAUGCUAAUACCGGAUAAGCCCACGUACCCUUAGGGGUAUGCGGGAAAAGGUGGGGACCUUCGGGCCUACCGUCAUCGGAUGAGUCCGCGUCCCAUUAGCUAGUUGGUGGGGUAAUGGCCUACCAAGGCGACGAUGGGUAGCUGGUCUGAGAGGAUGAUCAGCCACACUGGAACUGAGACACGGUCCAGACUCCUACGGGAGGCAGCAGUGGGGAAUUUUGCGCAAUGGGCGAGAGCCUGACGCAGCAACGCCGCGUGAGUGAUGAAGGCCUUCGGGUCGUAAAGCUCUGUCAGAGGGAAAGAACAACCUGUCGGUUAAUACCCGUCAGGCCUGACGGUACCCUCAAAGGAAGCACCGGCUAACUCCGUG